CAUUUUGAUUUAUAUACUCUCCCACACUCUCUCUCUUUUCCCUUUUUCCAGGCCUCACAUAAGCACCUCUCCUCUUUCUUCCUCCAAAACGCAAAAGUCAAUACCAAGAACUCUAAUUUCUUCAUCCAACUACACCACCCAUCACCAUUGACAGUCCCUCCUUCCAUAUUCAAAGAUUGCAGACCUCGAGCUUGAUUUGUUGACUUUGGAUUAGAUAAAAAUCUCAACCAAAUCUAAUCCGAAUCGGAGGAUAUCACAUCGAAUCCGAAUUUUCGGAGGUAGGUUCUCAUCUUGCUUGUUUUUUCUUCCAUUCUCUCCAAUCAAUCUCUCAUCUCCCGCUCAAACGACUAUUUGAAUUCAAGCCUUUAUUUUUGCUAUAAAUACAUGGUAUUGGUGUCAUUUAGAGGAGACACACGGAGACAAAAAAAUAGGGGACAAACAGAGGAUUGAAAUUUGAAGGUUGGAGAAUAGUAUUCCCUGAAAUUGAACCCACGAAGGUUUGAGCCUCGAAUUUUCAAUUUUCUUUCAAGUUCUUUGGAUCAUCUGUUGGUGGCGGUCAGUGGUAGUAGGAAGCUCUUCAACUCGUUUGUCUCAGUCGCUGCCCUAAAAAAGGUAAAACCUGUUUCUCUUCUUACUGUUCUGUUAACUUCAGGUGCACCUGGGUUAUUGUGUUUGAAGUUAUGUGUGGUAUUAUAAGUUUUCUCAUCGAGCUCUGUAAUUGUUUCUCUCAUGUUGUGAUUAUAGGAUGAGUGUGUGUUGCCGUUUAUUUCUUGUUUUCACAUAUGAGUUUGCAAUUCUCUUUCCAGAAUGUGUUAUGUUUCUUUCAUAUUGUUAGCUUUCCCUUGCUGUUUAAGAACCGGGAAAGGUUGAUUAUUUCUUUUUAGGAAUUGUUGUUUGAUUGUUGUAUUAGGAUUUGGUAUCAUGGAUUUAUAUAAAUGUUAGCCUAAUCUCGUGUUAUGGAUAGAUUUAGUUGAGUUCUUGUUCCAACUGCUUAGAAUGCAUUCAGUUUCAAUAAUAAAUAAGUUUCGGUUCGGUUUGUGUCGAAGAUGAUUUUCUGACUAGAACUGUUACUAUUCUUAUUUUCUGGCCUGCAUAACGGCAUUUUGUUGAAGUUUGAAACUGCUACACCUGUAUUAGUUAAGUCGUAGUCACUAUGCAUAUGCAUUAAUAACCAGUAUUCGAUGCCAUGUUUUUUCGCUCUUUCACUCUAAAUAUGGGAAUCAUGAUACACAUAGCUAUUUAAACUAAUUUUGUGUCUUUGCUAUUCUUUGUACCAAAACUAUUUCACUUGAAUGCUGCUAAACCCGCUUACUGCUGUUCAUAUGAUAUUAUCACUUAUAAUUUAUCCACUCUUAUUGCUAAUGAAUAAUCUUUGCCAUUGUGCAUACUGUACUCGUCAAAUGUUUGUCAUGUGCAUAUAAAGUUGUCUUGUUUGUUCAUUCCAUAAAGUAGUAUUGCUAAUGAAUAAUUUUUUCCAGUGUGCAUACUUUACUUAUCAAAUGCUUGCCAUGUGCAUAAAGUUGUCUUGUUUGAUAAUUCCAUAAAGUAGGACUUACUUUAGUGGUCCAUGUUUAUUUUCCUUUUACAUUUGUUGAAGUGAUUUUUUUUCCCUUCAAUUAAAAGAUGAAAUAAAAUUGGUGACCUAUUUAAUAUUAAUUACGUGAAUUACUACUUAGUUUCUUUGCUUGUGAUUUGAAUAUUAUGCUAAGUUUUUAUUUUUUUUAUUUUUAUUUUUGUAUCUUGUCCAACUCUAAUUCCUCUUCUUUUACUUUUGUUUGAUUUAUGGUAUGUUGGCGGAGUCCAAGUUGGACCCAAUUCCUAUUUCUUGCAUUCUCCGUCUUAUCAAGUCAACCGCAUAAUCGGAACCACGUGGAGUUCGGGAAGAGAAUGCAUGUCGUAAGGGAAGCUGAAACAGGUGUCGGAUUACAGAAAAAUGGGUUGUAUACAUCCGAUAUACACUGAUAUACAUCAGACGUAUGCGAAAAGGGAAUUGAGCCAAGAGCCCAAAUCAACAACGAGUUUGGCCCAAAAAGGGCCCAAAUUCAUCUUCUCCUUUAUUCUCCUAGAUUAUUUAAUUGUGAUUACUUAUUGUUA
rnacentral:lncRNA from 1 species